GAUGAAGAACGCAGCGAAAUGCGAUACUUGGUGUGAAUUGCAGAAUCCCGUGAACCAUCGAGUCUUUGAACGCAAGUUGCGCCUCAAGCCAUUAGGUUGAGGGCACGUCUGCCUGGGCGUCACAUAUCGUUGCCUGAUGCCAGUUUCCUCGUGAUGGGUGACUGUGCAGGGCGAAUGAUGGCUUCCCGUGAGCAUUGUUGCCUCAUGGUUGGUUGAAAAUUGAGUCCUUGGUAGGGAGCGCCGUGAUAGAUGGUGGUUGAGUGACGAACGAGACCCAAUCAUGUGAGACCCCUACCGAAUUUGGCCUUCAUGACCCACAUGCGUCUUUGGAACGCUCAUGAUGAGACCUCAGGUCAGGCGGGGCUACCCGCUGAGUUUAAGCAUAUCAAUAAGCGGAGGA
rnacentral:misc_RNA from 1 species